CUUUGAAACAGAUCUUUCAACAUAUUUCAAGUUACAUGUGAUUAUAUUUCACACAAAAUAGUAUAGUUUAACAACUCGGAGAUAGUCCUUAGAAAGCAGGAGAAAUUUAUUGUUAUUAGACACUUUAAUGGCAAAAUAAAAUAGUUCCUCUCAAUAAUUAAUUUUAAUCCCACAGUUGAGAUGCUUUUCUUAAUUUUUUUCUCUUUAUCAACAAAUUAAAGAAUUGGAAGCUACUCAUCAAGUUAGUUUUGUAUUUUCCUCUCCUUAUUCUUUCAAUCUUUGUGUGGAAUAGAUUAUGAAAUUCAAUUACUUACUCUUGCAGGAUUCAAUUGCAAGAACUACAGAGUGAAGCAGAACGGCCAUUGUAAAGAAUACUUCCCAUAUGCCAUCAAUUACUAAAUGACGCGGUCUAUACAAAGAAAAGGACAAAUCACAUACUUAAACACAAAUUCUGGAGGUAUAUUGGUUCAAUGAUAACGGUGGAAGCCUGUAUGGAAUACAGAGUAUUACGAAUUGAUUAUAGUAGAGUUGGAGUCUAAUGGGUAAAAUUACUCAUUAUAUGCUUAUCUUUUUCCUGUAGUAACAUGUUUGGUGAAGUCACCGGUAACGCCUCAGCCGUAGGUUACAUCCUCGAAUUAUCUCACGACUACGUGAGAUUGAUACCGAGGUGUGCAAAAUUUUAUGUAAAGUUUCUAAAUCUUUUCUCUUUAAACUUUAUGUCAACUAUUUCUAAAUCUUUGCUCUUUAAACUUUCUGUUUUUCUACUACUUUGUUAGUUUUUUCAUCUAUUUCUUGCUUCAUUUCCUCUAUUUCAUUCUUCUUAUUGAGUAUCAACCUAUUUUUGUUAAAUUAUGCAUUAGCCUUAGUUAGCAUAACUCCAAAAUAUAUGCUUAUAGAAUAUUUGUUUCUUUAUUUUCAUAUUCAGAUGUUUGUGCUUAACUAUUCAGAGCUGGUUCAAGGUAAUUUUCGACAUAGUUUAGAGCUGGUUUUCAGCAUAUGGACUAAUGUAAUGCAGCCGCGGUGUUUUGGUACUGCACCUGCUACGUAGCGGAGUUUUUUCCUCCCUACGUUCUGAUUUGUCUCUGUGUUCCAGCUGCAACAUAUCGGUUUUAUUUUCUUCUCUUUUCCUCUGUCUUCAAGUGUUUUGGCUAAAAAAAAAAGUAAUGUCUUUAUGUAGUCUCAAAACUAUAUGUAAUCCUUACAAAAAUCUGUUAUGAACCUUAGUGGAUUAGUUGUUGUGAGCAGCAUUUCAAGGAAGCAAAUUUAAGACAUAGUACAUGAUCAUUGAAGAACUGCUUGGGGCUGUCAAUUGCAUGCUAAAUUUAUAAGUAUAAGUUUGGAACUAUUUAUUGAUUGUAAUUUUAUUUGUGUAAGUCAACUGAUAAAGGUUAAUUAAUAAUCA